UACGUAGGGGGCAAGCGUUGUCCGGAUUUAUUGGGCGUAAAGCGCGUGUAGGCGGCCACACAGGUCCGCUGUGAAAACUCGAGGCUCAACCUCGAGCUGUCGGUGGAAACCGUGUGGCUAGAGUCCGGAAGAGGAGACUGGAAUUCCCGGUGUAGCGGGUGGAAUGCGCAGAUAUCGGGGAGGAACACCCGUGGCGAAGGCGGGGUCUCUGGGCCGUAACUGACGCUGAGGAGCGAAAGCAUGGGGAGCGAACAGG
rnacentral:rRNA from 1 species